UGUGACUGCAGGACACAUGAACAUCGACUUUUGAACGCAUAUCGCAGUCCAUGCUGUUAUGUACUUUAAUUAAUUUUAUAGUGCUGCUUGGACUACAUAUGGUUGAGGGUUGUAAGACUAUGCUAAUUAAGUUGUUUGAAAAUUUUUUUGAAAUUUUCGAGCAUAUGGUAUAUUAUUGGAUAUUUUUUAAUGUGUAUGUGUCUGAAGGGAGGCAUACAUUUGUAAAAUAAUAUUCAUAAUAUUAAAAUAUUUAAAUGGAAGGUACUAUAUCUCAUUGUAUAUUUUGUAUGAGAAAAUUGAAGAUAUAUAUUUCUUUUUUCAAAUCAAAUAAUACUGAGGAAGGUCUAGCAUAAAAGAAAAAUUUUAAUUUUUUUUUCAUCUAGAAUUGCCUCUUAUUAAUGAUGCGUUAAAAAGAAUUGUUGUAAAUAUUAUAGAUCUUCAAAAUGUAUAAUUAGUAGAAUCCAUUAUAUUGAACAAAAUAAUAUUUGUUCGAUUAACAUUGUUUUAUACAACCUCAACUCAUAUGGGACUACCCCCUGAAUUUAAGCAUAUUAAUUAGGGGAGGAAAAGAAACUAACAAGGAUUUUCUUAGUAGCGGCGAGCGAAAAGAAAUCAGUUCAGCACUAAGUCACUUUGUCUAUAUGGCAAAUGUGAGAUGCAGUGUAUGGAACAUCAAUAUUCUAGUAUGAGAAAUUAACGAUUUAAGUCCUUCUUAAAUGAGGCCAUUUACCCACAGAGGGUGCCAGGCCCGUAUAACGUUAAUGAUUACUAGAUGGUGUUUCCAAAGAGUCGUGUUGCUUGAUAGUGCAGCACUAAGUGGGUGGUAAACUCCAUCUAAAACUAAAUAUAACCAUGAGACCGAUAGUAAACAAGUACCGUGAGGGAAAGUUGAAAAGAACUCUGAAUAGAGAGUUAAAUAGUACGUGAAACUGCUUAGAGGUUAAGCCCGAUGAACCUGAAUAUCCGUUAUGGAAAAUUCAUCAUUAGAAUUGUAAUGUUUAAAAAAUAUUAUAAUAAUAGUGUGCAUUUUUUCCAUAUAAGGACAUUGUAAUCUAUUAGCAUAUUAAUUUAUCAUACAUUUAUGUCAUUUUGUUUGUUUCAAUUAAAGUGCUUGCAUUUUAACAUGAAAUAAAAGUUGUAAUAUUGAUAAAGUGCUGAUAGAUUUAUAAGAUUACAGUGCGUUAAUUUUUCGGAAUUAUAUAAUGGCAUGAUUAUCAUUGAUUUUUAUGUUUAUUAUAUGCACUUGUAUGAUUAACAAUGCGAAAGAUUCAGGAUACCUUCGGGACCCGUCUUGAAACACGGACCAAGGAGUCUAACAUAUGUGCAAGUUAUUGGGAUAUAAACCUAAUAGCGUAAUUAACUUGACYAAUAAUGGGAUUAGUUUUUUAACUAUUUAUAGUUAAUUAACACAAUCCCGGGGCGUUCUAUAUAGUUAUGUAUAAUGAUAUUUAUAUUAUUUAUGCCUCUAACUAGAACGUACCUUGAGCAUAUAUGCUGUGACCCGAAAGAUGGUGAACUAUACUUGAUCAGGUUGAAGUCAGGGGAAACCCUGAUGGAAGACCGAAACAGUUCUGACGUGCAAAUCGAUUGUCAGAAUUGAGUAUAGGGGCGAAAGACCAAUCGAACCAUCUAGUAGCUGGUUUCCUUCCGA
rnacentral:rRNA from 1 species